GACGAACGCUGGCGGCGUGCCUAAUACAUGCAAGUAGGACGCAGUUGCUAACGGGUGAGUAACGCGUAGGUAACUGCCUAUUAGAGGGGGAUAACUAUUGGCAACGAUAGCUAAUACCGCCUACUAGUACAUGGACCUGCGUUGUAUUAGCUAGUAGGUCGGGUAGUGGCCUACCUAGGAAACGAUACCUAGACGACCUGAGAGGGUGAUCGGCCACACUGGGAUUGAGCCACGGCCCAGACUCCUACGGGAGGCAGCAGUAGGGAAUCUUCGGCCAUGGGGUGAACCCUGACCGAGCAACGCCGCGUGAGUGAAGAAGGUGUUCGGAUCGUAAAGCUCUGUUGUUAAGGAAGCGGUACUUAACCAGAAAGUGACGGCUAACUACGUGCCAGCAGCCGCGGUAAUUC
rnacentral:rRNA from 1 species